AAUAGAUACCCGGUAGUCCACCGCCGUAAACGGUGGGCACUAGGUGUGGGCAACAUUCCACGCUGUCCGUGCCGCAGCUAACGCAUUAAGUGCCCCGCCUGGGGAGUACGGCCGCAAGGCUAAAAACUCAAAGGAAAUUGACGGGGCCCGCACAAGCGGCGGAGCAUGUGGCUUAAUUCGACGCAACGCGAAGAACCUUACCAAGGCUUGACAUACACCGGAAACGUCUGGAGACAGGCGCCCCCUUGUGGUCGGUGUACAGGUGGUGCAUGGCUGUCGUCAGCUCGUGUCGUGAGAUGUUGGGUUAAGUCCCGCAACGAGCGCAACCCUUGUCCUAUGUUGCCAGCACGUAAUGGUGGGGACUCGUAGGAGACUGCCGGGGUCAACGUCGGAGGAAGGUGGGGACGACGUCAAGUCAUCGAUGCCCCUUAUAUCCAGGGCUGCAAACAUGCUACAAUGGCCGGUACAAAGGGCUGCUAUCCCGCGAGGGUGAGCGAAUCCCAAAAAGCCGGUCUCAGUUCGGAUUGGAGU
rnacentral:rRNA from 1 species